UACGUAGGGGGCAAGCGUUAUCCGGAUUUACUGGGUGUAAAGGGGGCGCAGACGGCGAUGCAAGCCAGGAGUGAAAGCCCGGGGCCCAACCCCGGGACUGCUCUUGGAACUGCGUGGCUGGAGUGCAGGAGGGGCAGGCGGAAUUCCUGGUGUAGCGGUGAAAUGCGUAGAUAUCAGGAGGAACACCGGUGGCGAAGGCGGCCUGCUGGACUGCAACUGACGCUGAGGCCCGAAAGCGUGGGGAGCAAACAGG
rnacentral:rRNA from 1 species